rnacentral:rRNA from 1 species
GACGGAGGGUGCAAGUGUUAUCCGGAAUCACUGGGCGUAAAGCGUCUGUAGGUGGUUCGAAAAGUCCACUGUUAAAAAUUGAGGCUUAACUUCAAAGAUGCCGUGGAAACUUUCAAACUAGAGUAUGGUAGGGGUAGAGGGAAUUUCCAGUGGAGCGGUGAAACGCGUAGAGAUCAGGAAGAACAUCGGUGGCGAAGGCGCUCUGCUGGACCAUAACUGACACUCAGGGACGAAAGCUAGGGGAGCGAAUGGG